ACUCAACGUUAAUUCUUUAAAAAGGGUGAGUUUAAGUUGUAAAAGCAUGCUGUUAUAUUAAUUUAUUUUGAUAUUUAACAGACCCUUGAUCAGCUUGUUAGCCCUAAACUUGUUUUUAAGGAGUUU
rnacentral:sRNA from 2 species